AUCUUUGUGAGUACUACGGAACGAUGGAUAAGGAUUAGAUUUCGGGAAUUGUAUUUGAGAGAAAUAGACUGGAAGAGAUGUUUUAUUAGAUAGAACAAGACGGAACUACAAUGUUUGGGGUAUAAAUCCUAGUUCUAGCCGCCUAGCUAUAAUCCCUUCCUUUAGGUUUUAGGUUCCCCUUAUAUAGUUGUUUUAGGUCGACCUUAGUCGGUUUUGAGUAGGUUAAACUCUUCCAUAUUCGGAAAUAUGGAAGGUUCUCCUUAUCGGAUGUUUUCUUUUUCCCGGAGGAAGGGGGUGGUCCCUGGGACCGGACCCGGGGUACUUCCUAGCAGGGA
rnacentral:lncRNA from 1 species